rnacentral:lncRNA from 1 species
UGUCUUUUCCUUCCUCAAAAAAUCCAGCUAUAUGCUUUGCUGUAAUCAAAUAGUGAUGGCCAUCUUAUAUUGGAAUGUGCAUGGGAUGGGUAAGCUAAACAAAAAAUGAGUGAUUAGGGAGGCCAUCAAAGUUUUUGCAUGCUGGAUUGCAUGAUUUCAAGAAUUAAAACUCGAGCAUAUAGAUAUUAGACUGCUAAGAUGGAUUUGUGGCUAAAACGUAGAUCUUUAGUAUGCAAAUGAUGCUAUUGGUGCUUUUGGUGGAAUUCUUACAUGCUGGAACUCUGCUAU